UCUCCACUUUUCGCGUCUUCUUCUUUGACGUCAACACCCUCACCCCUCACCUCAUCAUCUAUAUAUACCAAACCCACUCCCCACCUUCUCCCCUUGCACCAGAGGGUCAUUGUUUAAUCUCCACAGAGAGAGAGAGAGAGAGAGAGAGAGAAGUGCGUGAGAGAGAGUCUUUAGGGUUUUGUUGCGUGGAAGAAGAAGAAGUGUGGGUUCCAUCUGGUUCUUGGAAGCGUUUACAUUUCGAGUUCUUGCCUAGCACAACAUAUUUGAGCGUCUGGGGUUUUUGGGGACAAAUACAUUCUGAGAAAUUUCAUUUCUAGUCCGAGGAAAGCAAUGGAGGGUUGAAUCGCGUUCCUCUGCAGGAGAGUUGAAGAAAUCCUAGGGGUCUUACUCAUCUUCCUUUCUUUUUUUUUGUUCUGUGUAGGUAAAGCAAAUGGAUCUCCUCAUGUCAAUACUGGCAGUGGAGAACGACACUGGACUAUUGACUAGGACAGAUACUGGAAGUUUUACAGAUAUGUUAAUGGGUUCACAUUUGUGGCAUGCAAGGGUAGUGGAAUAAUAUUGUUGGUGGCGUACUUGGAGUGACGUUUAUUGUACACAGUAUGCAGAAGAAAGACUUGGGGAGUGUCUCAUCAGCCCCCAUUGAUGUACCAUCUUUCGAGGACUUGUGAAUUUUCCGGUCAGAACAACACCCUCCUCUCUGACAGCAGUUGGAUCUGAGAAGCCUGAUCAUGUGGCGUAGGUGCCCCCUGAAAGCCUGUUUGAUCCUCUUAGUUUGUUUUGGCUGCACUGCGCUGAAUUGAGCUGCUGGCGUAGCUUCUGAAGGUUUGAUCCAUUAUUUCAUUGGAUAAAUUAGGAAGUGGACCGUGCCCCUUUGCUCUGCCUGUUUGAUAUCCUCUCCUUGUAUAAUCGAUCCCUUGGUUCUGUAAUUGUUGAAUCCCAUAGCUCCCGAUUUUCCCACAGGCAGUCACAUGGUUCUGUGGGUGCUAAAUUGUAUUUAGUUCAUUUAGUAAGGAAGUUUCUUGAUAUGUAGAAGUCUGAUAAACUGUGUUGUAUAUACAAAGAAAUGGGUUUCGCAUGUUUGGUGCGAAUUUCUCGGAGCA